UACGUAGGGUGCAAGCGUUAAUCGGAAUUACUGGGCGUAAAGCGUGCGCAGGCGGUUUUGUAAGUCAGAUGUGAAAUCCCCGGGCUCAACCUGGGAACUGCGUUUGAAACUACAAGGCUAGAGUGUAGCAGAGGGGAGUGGAAUUCCACGUGUAGCAGUGAAAUGCGUAGAGAUGUGGAGGAACACCGAUGGCGAAGGCAGCCCCCUGGGUUAACACUGACGCUCAGGCACGAAAGCGUGGGGAGCAAACAGG
rnacentral:rRNA from 1 species